rnacentral:rRNA from 1 species
GUGUCAGCAGCCGCGGUAAGACAGAGGUGCCAAGCGUUAGGCGGAAUCACUGGGCUUAAAGCGUGUGUAGGUGGAUUUGUAAGUACCUUGUGAAAUCCCAUGGCUCAACCAUGGAACUGCUCGGUAUACUGCGAAUCUUGAGCCACUUAGGGGCUACCGGAACAAAUGGUGGAGCGGUGAAAUGCGUAGAUAUCAUUUGGAACGCCAAUGGUGAAAACAGGUAGCUGGGAGUGUGCUGACACUGAGACACGAAAGCCAGGGGAGCGAACGGGAUUAGAUACCCCGGUAGUCC